rnacentral:rRNA from 1 species
GUAGGUGGCAAGCGUUGUCCGGAAUUAUUGGGCGUAAAGCGCGCGCAGGCGGUUCUUUAAGUCUGAUGUGAAAGCCCACGGCUCAACCGUGGAGGGUCAUUGGAAACUGGAGAACUUGAGUACAGAAGAGGAAAGCGGAAUUCCACGUGUAGCGGUGAAAUGCGUAGAGAUGUGGAGGAACACCAGUGGCGAAGGCGGCUUUCUGGUCUGUAACUGACGCUGAGGCGCGAAAGCGUGGGGAGCAAACAGGAUUAGAUACCCUGGUAGUCCACGCCGUAAACGAUGAGUGCUAAGUGUUAGGGGGUUUCCGCCCCCCUUAGUGCUGCAGCUAACGCAUUAGCACUCCGCCUGGGAUACGGCGCAAGGCUG